GGAACACAAACGCCUGGUACAUGGAUGCUACAAUGAAAAGAAUAUGGGUGCUGAAAUCAGAGAGAAUCAUCCAAGGUGGGUCUCCUCUGUCCUUACAAUCUCCAGUCACACCUUAACCACUUUUCCAGAUGAUCCUUAUGCAUGCUGAACUCUGAGAGCCACCAGUGAAGAAGAUAAGUGACCCAUCUACCUGUAGCUGGAAAAUAAAGGCUCUUUGGGAUUCUUUCCCAUGAGUCUUCAUUUCACCAUAUUGGUGAGAGAAGGCAUUCAGGCCCAAUAAUUAACUGAACAUUAGCUGUG
rnacentral:lncRNA from 10 species